ensembl:rRNA 5S_rRNA 5S ribosomal RNA
AGUUCUGGGUAGUGUCACAAUGUGCCCGAUCUCCUCUGAUCUUGGAAGCCAAGCAGGGCCGGGCCUGGUUAGUGCUUGGAUGGGAGAGUGUGCUGAAUCUCAGGCACCACGUGGAGGGCCGGGAGUUGGAACUU